rnacentral:lncRNA from 1 species
CAGCAUCGAUGGUGCUGUCGCACGAUUCUACAAAGUAGCAACAGUACAGUCCAAGACUGCACUUACCAUGACAAUUGACUUCAGAUUCUGGGAGCAUCAAUUCCAAUGGUUUUUUGUCCAGAGGGGUCCAAUCAGAGGCUCAAAACCAUCAUUUUAGUUGGCCAAUCGUAAGCUAGCGACAGCGAACAAAAUCGUUUCUAAUCCCGCAGACCAGCAAUAAAUCCCACUCCUAGUUAACUUUACUGUAUGCUAAGCGUGUCCAGAUUUCCAUUAUCCAAUGAAUGUACGGUGUAUAUUUCAUUGCCAGGACCAUGGUGGAUUGGUGGUGGGCUGGUGGCAUUGCGUCUGCUAAGGCUACAGCUAGUGUAUAAAUACCUGGGUUGAGGAUGAGGGAGGUACCAAACAAGGAGGAAUUGCCAUCAGCUGGUUGCUACAAAGGAUAACCACCACCGCAUCUAGGUAACCUCUGCAGCCUGUGCCAAUGGGCCGCCAUGCACUUGCGAAAUCGACAGCUCUCCUCCGGUAACUAGUCAUCCACUCUGAACCUGCAACGAUAAACAAACAGAUGUUCAUUCUGGUUCCUUCCAGCUUGUUGCUCUUGAAGCAUGGCUGAACAUCGAUUAUACAUCUCAUAUUAUACUGAAAAGACUUGAAUAGCAACAUGCAGCAUCAUUUCAUCUCUUUGAAGUAACUGCUUAAAUUGCUAUAUGCAGGGGAAUUAAGAACAAGCAAAGCACUAACCUUGUGAGGCGACUGGAGCCUGCAGAAGUGAAGUCAGCAGAAACAUCAUUGUGGGUGCCACACCCAAGGACAGGGAUAUACUACCCCAAGGGCUUUGAAUGGGUC